rnacentral:rRNA from 1 species
GACAGAGGAUGCAAGCGUUAUCCGGAAUGAUUGGGCGUAAAGCGUCUGUAGGUGGUUUUUUAAGUCUGCCGUCAAAUCCCAGGGCUUAACCCUGGACAGGCGGUGGAAACUACCAAGCUGGAGUACGGUAGGGGCAGAGGGAAUUUCCGGUGGAGCGGUGAAAUGCGUAGAGAUCGGAAAGAACACCAACGGCGAAGGCACUCUGCUGGGCCGACACUGACACUGAGAGACGAAAGCUAGGGGAGCAAAUGGG